AUUCCUACGGAUGGUUUAUAAAAUAUAUGUAGAUAAUUGUGAUUGUUGUGAUUCCUCUAAAUAGUUCCGGGCUCGUAUCCGUGCUUUAAACCAGGUGAAAAAAUUGCAAAUGUCUAAAAUGAGCUUAAAUAAUAUCCUGACUUCUCACAAAUCUCUCAACAUAAUUCUCAUGCUAGGCUGGCACGAGUCCCGUUGAUAUACAAACUCGACUUGCUCCGCUGACUCGCGGAGAAGUUCUUAACUCCUGAGAUGGUUCCUUCUCUUCUACUCUGAGAUGGUUCAGUUCUCCUCUACUCCCACCUACUAAUCUUGACAUCCUGAGUGUAAGGAAGUCUAUAUAAAGGUGAGGAUCAAAGCUCACAACCUUUGAGCUCUGGAACUCGGUCUAAUUAGUUCUAUUUAGACCUCCGUUGUCAAGACUCCGACAUCACCGGAAGCUGAGUCAUCCUUGUUCUCUGGAUCCUCAGUUUAUGCUCCAGAAUAUCCUACUGGUACUCUAGAGACCCAUAUACCUCUACGUACCAGGCCUGCACAACUUUGGCUUAGUUGUAUCCUCUUCUCCAGUUUCUCCGACGAGAAGAACUUUUGCUCCCCUCCUAUACCUCCACGGAAGGGCUCUGAUUCUGUAUCCCUGGUCUAGCUCCUCCUCUAGAUCAAAUACAGUUAUCCUGUUCGCGACUGCGGUGCAAUUUAAUGAACUAUAGGCUACAAACCUCUGGACAAAUCAACAUUUUCACGGUUGAGUCCUGUAUAAACUGCCUACCUGAAAUAUAUACAUAAGAUUUAA